AUCAGCUUGAUUUGAAAUUAUCUUAUAUAAAUGUGCCAUGGAUCAUGUCACAGAUCUUGGACCUCUGGGGGAUUACAGUGGCUCUCCUUUCCUGCCUUCAGACUCUGAUAUCCUACUUGACUCACCUGAACAGGAUGAUAUUGUUGAGGAAUACUUUGCAGAUACUAACAACAACGGGCCAUGUUCUCAGUCAGAUGAGGAGAAAACAUAGUUAGAUGAUUAUGGCUACCCUUAUUAUCUUCCGUUGAUUAGCUUCAACAGACAAGCAAGAAGAACAAUCAUUUCUCCAACUGUGACAGUUCUUCAGCACAUUAGUCGACUCUGAAUCCUUGUAUUGCGACUUUAAAAUCUGUAGAAUUUUGUAAUCGAGUACUUUUAAUUAAAUGAUAAGUGUUACAGCGUUGCAGAAUAAUAUUUAUUAUAAAGAAUCUAUGAUACAAUAUUGCUUUCAUUGUAUUUAACCAAUCAACAAUAACUAUGGACUUUACAUUAA